rnacentral:rRNA from 1 species
GUUAAGUCGACCGCCUGGGGAGUACGGCCGCAAGGUUAAAACUCAAAUGAAUUGACGGGGGCCCGCACAAGCGGUGGAGCAUGUGGUUUAAUUCGAUGCAACGCGAAGAACCUUACCUGGUCUUGACAUCCACGGAAGUUUUCAGAGAUGAGAAUGUGCCUUCGGGAACCGUGAGACAGGUGCUGCAUGGCUGUCGUCAGCUCGUGUUGUGAAAUGUUGGGUUAAGUCCCGCAACGAGCGCAACCCUUAUCCUUUGUUGCCAGCGGUCCGGCCGGGAACUCAAAGGAGACUGCCAGUGAUAAACUGGAGGAAGGUGGGGAUGACGUCAAGUCAUCAUGGCCCUUACGACCAGGGCUACACACGUGCUACAAUGGCGCAUACAAAGAGAAGCGGCCUCGCGAGAGCAAGC